AGCUUGCUCUUCUGGAUGAGUUGCGAACGGGUGAGUAACGCGUAGGUAACCUGCCUGGAAGCGGGGGAUAACUAUUGGAAACGAUAGCUAAUACCGCAUAACAGUAGAUAUCGCAUGAUAUCUGCUUGAAAGGUGCAAUUGCAUCACUACCAGAUGGACCUGCGUUGUAUUAGCUAGUUGGUGAGGUAACGGCUCACCAAGGCGACGAUACAUAGCCGACCUGAGAGGGUGAUCGGCCACACUGGGACUGAGACACGGCCCAGACUCCUACGGGAGGCAGCAGUAGGGAAUCUUCGGCAAUGGACGGAAGUCUGACCGAGCAACGCCGCGUGAGUGAAGAAGGUUUUCGGAUCGUAAAGCUCUGUUGUAAGAGAAGAACGAGUGUGAGAGUGGAAAGUUCACACUGUGACGGUAUCUUACCAGAAAGGGACGGCUAACUACGUGCCAGCAGCCGCGGUAAUACGUAGGUCCCGAGCGUUAUCCGGAUUUAUUGGGCGUAAAGCGAGCGCAGGCGGUUAGAUAAGUCUGAAGUUAAAGGCUGUGGCUUAACCAUAGUACGCUUUAGAAACUGUUUAACUUGAGUGCAGAAGGGGAGAGUGGAAUUCCAUGUGUAGCGGUGAAAUGCGUAGAUAUAUGGAGGAA
rnacentral:rRNA from 1 species